GGCGGAGUUGUCUGGCCUCCGUGAUACUGAUAGAAUGUAUCAUCCUCAGGAAGGAGGUGCGACAAUGCCGGAGGACUCACACUUACUGAAUCCCCUGGAAAACAAAACGAGAAGACCAGUGAAUGUUGUUCCUUCUCUCAGUCCCAUGAUAAAUAGUAAAAGAUCACGACGUUACAUCAAUGAAGACUCCCAUCAUAAGCAGGCCUGACUGCACUACAGAAGCAGCUUCCACGUCAGCGAAUCCAGGAGCGACACCCACAAUCUGCAUCUAACAACCCACACACACACACACACACACACACACACACACACACAAACGCGUGACAAUUUAUUUAUAACAUCAAUAACAUAAGUGAUUAUCUGGAAAACUGAAUUAAUGUGCAUUCAAGUGGAUGAGAACACAACCCCUGUGUAUGUGUGUGUGCACGUGCGUAUGUAUGUGCGUGUGUGUGUGCACCUCCAUAGGGAACCUGCGAGCAUCAAAUUUAUGCUCUGAUCCGUUGGUCGUAUUCGAACCCCAGUGGAAUCUCAUCUCUACGAUUCGGUAAUUAUGCUUUAUACCGCCACCUUUUACAGUCAUGCCUGCUUGAAACUUCACAACAACUAAACACACACACACACACACAAAAAAUUUAAUUUGUAGCAAAAUUCUGUGAAAAGUAAAUAAAAUAAAAUGUUACAAUAUAAGCAGUACAAUUUGUUAACACUUAGUGAGCAUUAAUAUGAUAAUACUAUUAUACACAUAUAUAUUAGAAACAUCAAAUUAUAAGAUAAAAAAUAUAAAAGUACUACUAAAAAUACUACUGUAAUAAUCUAAAGUAAUAAAACAUAGAAUCACUUGUUGAAGGUUUACAUUUUUUAUGGUUUGUUCAGUAAGGCCUUAGACUGUCUGACUUUCAGAAAUGUUUGAUGACUAUUUUUUCAACCUUUUUUUUUUUAAAUGAUAGUUUAUUUGAUUGAUUCUUUAAUGUAAUUGCUUAAAUUAAUUCUAUACUUUACUUGUUACUUAAAUUCUUUAUUUAAAUUUUGUUGCCCUUUGAGCACAGCGUCCUACUUUAAAUGCUAUUUACUUCACGCCACCUUCACUUUUUUUUACGUCACUUAGCUUUACCAUGACUAUCACCUAGCAUAGCCACUGUGUUAUGAUGUCACUAUUACGGUCAGUGGUGUGUACCAGUGUCCCGGACAUUGACUACAGUCCAAGACUUCUGAGGCACAUCGAAGCUUUGCAGCUCCAGAGGAUCGAUGGAGUUGUUCUUAACACCACGUUGCAGGUUGAUGGGAGAGUGUAGCCCCGAUUCUUUGGCGAUGCAGGUAGGAAACAUUUUCACCCAGUUAUAUGGACCUGUCAUAUAAAACCAGUCAUUUAAGGAAUAUGAAAUAUAAACAAAGUGGGCCAACACCAACCCAUAAAUUAAGACAAAUGAAACUAAUCAUUUAAUUACGACAAAAGAAAUGGUGGUGUAAACGGAGGACGGACCUGUCUGUCUGCGCGUAGCUGUAAUCUGUAAACAAAUACCUCCGCUGAUGGAAGAUGUAUCGCUCGCUUAUUAUUAUAGACAUUAUAUAUUAUUAAAUAUUUUUACAGGCAUUGAAGUGAGUCAAAAUAACUUCCAACUUCUGCAUUUCAGCCUUUACCUUAAAAAUUCAAUGCAUCCACUGUUAAUGUUAGGGUUACAACACGCACUACGUCAAGCAGUUGGCAUACCUUAUGUCACUAAAACACUAGAGGUAAAUACCAGGAAAAGAAAGCUGAAAUUAUGAUCUCUUCAUCGUCUCAUGUUCAUUUUUUGCGCUCAAACAAAAAUGUCUUCGGUGUAUAUCGAAAACAAGGAAACUGGCCUUGCAGUUCCAAUACUUUCGGAGAGGACUGUACACACGAAAGUAUGAAGAAAAUCAGCAUUUCCGAAACACUCUGAAUAUUUUAAUUUGAUUAGGCUUACUCAAACAUUUACACACAACUUUACUAAAAGAUUAAAAGAGGCCCAAUAUUGGUAUCGUCAGUAAAGGUCAUGUGACUUUGUAUGUUUCUGUAUUUAUUUAUUACUGAUUUUUUUUUUUUUUUGAAAAAAAAGGAAAAGUUGUUGGGACUUACUACAGGAGUCUUCUGUGUAGCAGUAAUUAAGGGGUGGAACUGCGAGACAAAGAGGACAGAUAGGGUUAGCAGACAAAACAGCAAAUUAUUACAGAUUAAGAUUUUUUUUUUUUUCAGUUACACAAAACGUCAGCUAAUAAUGACUUACUUUGUUUGAGGUUACUGGUUUUUUUUUUGUUUGUCAUUUUACCCCUUUACAUAAACAUGACAACUUUCUAUACAGGUUUGAGAGGUAGUUUUAAAAAAAAAAAAAAAACACAAGCAUGAGAAACAACUAAAUAUUUUAGAUUUACGACGUACUGUGGUGCUUGAAAGUUUGUGGACUCUUUAGCAUUUUCUAUGUAUCUGCAUAAAUAUGUAAUAUUGGCUCAUCUUAAUAAAUAAAUGACCAAGUAUAAUAUUUUUGUCGCAUUUGUUUAACUGGGUUCUCUUUAUCUACUUUUAGGACUUGUGUCAAAAUCUGCUGAUGUUUUAGGUCAUAUUUAUGCAGAAAUGUAGGAAAAUUUUUAGGGUUCACAAACUUUCAUGCAAAAAGUGAGUGAAGAGAAUUCAACAGCACGUAAAAGCAGGUAUAAAUAUUUCUUUCAGAUCCCACUGUUGGGCAAUCAACCAAAAUUAUGUACCGUACAAACCUGUGAGGGGCAAAGCACUGACUGUACUUAGCAUUAGGACAGAUAUUAGAGCAGACAUCCAGGACUGCAUACUUCACCUGUUCCUGCAAAAAAUAAAAAUAAUAAUAAUAAUAAUAAUAAUAAUAAUAAUAAUAAAUCAACAACAGGAACAGAUAUACUAGUAAUUUUACACUGAUAAUGGAAUUACACACACAAAAGAUUAAAUUACAAAUCAACAUGCAACUUAAUACGGUAACAGAUUUCCAGCAGAUUUGUAAUUUUACCUGUCUAAUUUUAAUAUCACUACAGGUGCAUCUCAAAAAAAUCUGAAUAUCGUGGAAAAAUUUAUUUUUUGAAAUGAUCCAAAUGAAAGUUACUUUCAUCGCAAAAGAGGACUUUAGACCACCGAGCAACAGUCCAGUUCUUUUGAAAGUCUCAGGAAACCUUCCCAGGAAACCUCAGGUGUUUUGAGUUAAUUAACUGAUUAGAGCGACAUCAGGUCGACAUUUCUGUAUUAUAAAUUCUUUAUUCUAAUAUUCUGAGGUACUGGAUUUUUGAUUUCCAUCAGCUGUAAGCCGUAAUCAUCGAGAUUAAAACAAAACAAAACAAAAAAAACGUUUGAAAUAUUUCACUUUGUGUAAUGACUCUAGAAUAUAUGAAAGUUCCACUUUUUUAAUUAAAUUACGAGGGGGAAAAAAACCCUAACUUUUCCACGAUAUUCAAAUUUUUUGAGAUGCACCUGUACAUCCGUAACCUUAAUACUUUUCAAAAUUUAACAUGUUUUUUCAUGUAUGGUGACUCAAUAAAAUAAAUGGAUAACACUUGUAAUAUUAAACAUAUGCUGUAGUAGAUACGGGGUGUACGGUGGCUUAGUGGUUAGCACGUUUCCCCUCACGCCUCCAGGGUCGGGGGUGUGAUUCCCACUGUGGCCCUGUGUGUGGAGUUUGCAUGUCCAAAGACAUGCAUGGUAGGCUGAUUGUCGUGUCUAAAGUGUCCGUAGUGUAUGAAUGGGUGUGUGAGUGUGUAUGUGAGUGUGUUCCCUGCAAUGGAUUGGCACUCUGUCCAAGGUGUACCCCGUCUUGUGCCCGAUGGUCCCUGGGAUAGGCUCCAUGACCCUGAAGGAGUAAGUGGUAGAAAAUGGAUGGAUGGAUGGAUGUAGUAGAUACUACUCAACCACACAUACACUCACUGAACACUAUUUAUGUACACCUACUAAUUCAUGCAAUUAUGUGCAUCAUCAUACAGAUACGGGCCAGCAGCUUCAGGUAACGUUCACGUCAACCAUCAGAAUGGAGGAAAAAAUAUGAUCUCAGGUGAUUCUGACCAUGGUGUGAUUGCUGGUGCCAGACAGGCUGGUCUGAGUAUUUCUACAACUGCUGAUCUCCUGGGAUUUUCACACACAACAGUCUCUAGAGUUUACGUAAAAUGGUGCAAUAAAGAAGCAGUAGUUCUGUGGAUGAAAACGCAAAGGAGAAUAGCCAGACUGGUUCGAACAGACAGAAAUGAUACAGCAACUCGGAUAAACACUGUAUAAUUGUAGUGAGCAGAAAACCAUCUCAGAAUGCACAACAGGUCAAACCUUGAGGCAGAUGGGCUACAACAGCAGACCAAAUAGCCUGGUCUGAUGAAUGAAAAAUCUGCAGGAUCGCGUGAUGCAGGCACAUCGACACGGACCAGAAUCUCACAGGAACGUCUCCAACAUCUGGUGGAAUCCGUUACAUGAAGAAUUGAGUGCAAAUUCUUCAUGUAACGGCCCUACCCAGUAUUACUAUAGUGUUCCUAAUAAAAUGCUCAGUGAAUGUAUAAUACACGUGACAGGAUAUGCUUCAGCUCAUUUAUUUCUAAUAAUAACCAACACAUUAUUCAAAUUUGUUUUAAAUAAAUAAAUAAAUAGAUAGAUAAAUAAAUAAAUAGCAACACACCUGAAUUAAGAUAAACUGAAAACUGUCAGAUAAAUAAUUACGUUUUCCUAAAUACUGGACAAGAAAUUCGUGAACAUGUCUAAUGUGUUUUAUACUGUAGGUCUUUAUAGAGAGAGAGAGAGAGAGAGAGGGCGGGGGCGGGAUCUUGGGCCUGAUUUCAUUGCUAAAAUAUAAAAGUAACGGUAUCGGCGGCACCGCACCAUAAUUCAAUGUCUAAUAUUUUAAAAACCGAAGCUUUUAGAGGCAGAAACGGAGCAGAAACGAUUGAGACUAUUUUGCCGACGUUUUGCGCUGGGUGCGGGGUCCACUUCACCCAGAUCAGAACCGUCCCAGGCCCACUUCACGCAGACCAGAGCCGACCCAUGCUGGUAG